rnacentral:rRNA from 1 species
UGACUCAACACGGGAAAUUUUACCCCGGACAGCACAUGAUUAGGAUUGUCAGAUUGAGAGCUCUUGCAUGAUUUCAUGGAGGGUGGUGCAUGGCCGUUCUUGGUUGGUGGAGUGAUUUGUCUGCUUAAUUGCGAUAACGAACGAGAUCUCUGCCAAUAAAUAGAUGCCUCUUCCGCUUGUACACGAUGGUCCUCGUGGCUUGCCUCGGGGUAUCCCAAAGUGGAGGAGGAGGAGUUUUACUUAUUGGGAUUAUGCAUUCUUCCAAAUGCAUUGAGACGAGAGCCAAUAGCAGGUCUGUGAUGCUCCUAAAUGUCCUGGGCCGCACGCGCACUACACUGAUCCAGACAACAAGCUCAUGCUUUUGCAUCCUGAGUUGAAAAGCUCUGGGAAAUCUUUUAAGCCUGGAUCGUGAUGGGGAUAGAUGAUUGCAAUUAUUCCUCUUGAACGAGGAAUGUCUCGUAGUCCCGUUUCAUCAGAACGGAACGAUUAUGUCCCUGCCAUUUGUACACACCGCCCGUCGUUGCUACCGAUUGGUUUGCUGGUAGAACCAUUUGGAGGGGGCUCUUGGUGUUCUCUGAACAUCUCGAGUCCGCAAAAUUUGGUGAUAUUGGCUAACUAGAGGAAGCAAAAGUCGUAACAAGGUUACU